CAGUAGCCGCGGUAAUACGGAGGGUGCAAGCGUUAAUCGGAAUUACUGGGCGUAAAGCGCACGCAGGCGGUUUGUUAAGUCAGAUGUGAAAUCCCCGGGCUCAACCUGGGAACUGCAUCUGAUACUGGCAAGCUUGAGUCUCGUAGAGGGGGGUAGAAUUCCAGGUGUAGCGGUGAAAUGCGUAGAGAUUAGGAGGAACACCAGUGGCGAAGGCAGCCCCCUGGGAUAACACUGACGCUCAUGCACGAAAGCGUGGGGAGCAAACAGGAUUAGAUACCCGUGUAGUCCCUGUCUCUUAUAA
rnacentral:rRNA from 1 species